AGGCAAAAUAUACAUACGUCAUUUUGCAUACUGUUUUAAAGAUGCUUUUAAUGAUCAACAUAAUUUUUUUAUAUUGUGCCGUAGAAUAUUUGGCAUUUGUGUCGUAUUUGCAGUGUUUGUGUCAAUCUGCUUUUCUUAACAGGUUAACACGACACGAUAAGAAAACUAGUGAAAAAUGUCAAACACGAACACGAUCCGUUACAAUUUGCGAAUCACACAACAUGAUCCGUUUCACUCGUUAAGAAUUAAAACAAAAUUAAAAAACUGAAAACUGAAAAAAAAAAAAAAAAAAACCACGUACAAAACCACACCUUUUCCUCUUUCUAUCCUCCUUCCCCAAUUCAUAAACUUCCAUUAAUGACACAACCAGGGAGAGAGAGGGUUAGCUGAAGAAGGAGGAGGGGGAGAGAGAGAGAGAGAGAGAAGAAAAGAAAGCUAUGUUUGGUUUCUGAGAAAAUUAAUGAAAAGAGAAGAAACUUAAAGAGAAAGACAGCGGGAGAGUCGGGGAAUGGGGGAGGGAGAGAAGAAUGAGAUGGGAAAAAAAAAAAAAAAAAGGAGGAAAUAUAUAAAUUUACAAAAAUGGCCCUAAGCUUAACGGGUUAAUGGGUAUUCUCAAAUUUACACAACACAACCUGUUAGUUUAACCACACGAUAACUCGGAUCCAAAUACUGAAAUUUUUGUGCGAAUUCGUGUCGUGUUAACAGGUUAUGUAUAAUAUUGCCAGGUCACUGACUUAAUCAAUCCCCACAUUGGGCUGGAUCGAAAAUUUGGGCCUAGGUUUCAAAUCACGGCCUUUGGGCCUUAUGGGCCUAGCCAAGUCAUCCCUCUUUGUGGGGCCUAAGCGGAGAAAUUAGGAAAUAAACACAUUCCCGUAGCCACCCAUCCACUACCCUCGAUCAACCCCCAAAUACGUUAUAAAGUAAUCCCAACGGACCAACCCCACCCCAUCGCCCCCUAAUUCGAGUGAGUGACCAACAUCACUGGAGAUAUGAACAACGAAAAACACAGAAAAAAAGAGAAGAGAAAACGGGGAGUGAGUUCUUAAAAAAUGUCAUCAAUGAUAAAAGUUGAAAAAGAAAUCAUAAAAGAAAAUUGAAAUUAGAAUCCUUGCAACUCUUGUGCCACGUGUCAAGACCGGACCAUUCACUUCCUCUAACGAACGCGCAGCGAGCGGCACCUGUCAACUUCCAUACACUCCUCAGUCUCAGUGUGACUCCCCAAACCACACCUUCACUGUUCCUCGCUCAAUGUCUCAGCAGCUCCACCAUUUCCAAAAUUUCCGAAAUUUCCAAAUGAACAAGUAAAAUUAAAAAAUGGCUUCUCAUCCCGGAGAUUUGCUUCGCCAUCGUCCAUUUCCUCUGCUCUCAAUUCGACCAAAUCCAAGGUGUUAUCUCUUAUUUAUCUUCAAUCAGAGUACCGGAACUCGGUGGUUAAGUAGCAGAACCGAGUCAGCUCGGGCCGAGUUCACCUCGGAGAACGCCUAUGAGGUCUUAGGCGUUUCAGAAACCAGCUCAUUUGCCGAAAUCAAAGCUUCUUUCCACAAAUUGGCGAAACAGACUCAUCCGGACCUCGCCGAGUCCAAGAACGAUUCCGAUGCUUCCCGCAGAUUCGUGCAAAUCCUCGCCGCCUAUGAGAUUCUUUCAGAUUGCGAAAAGAGGGCCCAUUAUGACAGGGACCUGUUAUCUCAGAGAAAUUUUAUGCAGAAAAAUUCUGGGUGCGGCAUGACAUUGCACAUGUACAAGCGUCAUCUAACUACAUACAAGCAGAUGGAAGUUGUUGAAUGGUUGAAGUGGUAUAGACUUGCUAUAAAUGAUGUGCUGUCAGAGAGGAAGGUGGUUGUUGGAACAGGUUAUUUUGAUGUUCUUGAGGGAGAUUUUUAUUCAGCCAUACAUGCGGCGUACUAUGGCCCUCUAAUUGAGUCUAUGGACCUUCUUCCUGACUGCUUUGAAGCUGAAGAGAGAUCUGUGUAUGAAACCCCAGAGGUGCUGCAUUUUGUUUCAGGCCGUGAUCUUUUUGGGAUGGUCUGCCUGGUCAAUAUAGUUCCAGAGUUAUCAUCUUACAGCAAUAAGAAAUUAAGUUAUUCCACAUCUGCGGGUUUGGGGAUUUGUCAAUCUGUUCAGGACUUGAGAAUCUGCAUGAAUUCUGGUGGUGUUGAUGAUGCUGGAAAUGCUCAUGUGCGAACCUGGGAUGUUACAGAUGAAACAUCAGAUGCAUAUAAAGAUUUAGAAUUGCAUAUAUCUGGGAGGGUGGUUGCUACGGCCACCAGAGCCCCUCCAAAAAGCUACUCUGAUGGGAUGCAGAAUGAAGAGUCUGAUCACAUUCGUGUAUUUCUGAGCUCUAAUGAAAAUCCUGUCCAUACCAGCGAAGGGUUUACUGAAGAUUCUUUUUCAGGUGCUGCCGUUGGAUCGAGGAUUCUAUUGGGAACUAUAACCGGAUUAGGGACUAGCUCAGAAGAAGGGUCUGGCCUUGUCUACAAUAGCAGUGGUACCAAAACCCAUGUGAUUAUGAAGCAUAGAACAUUGCUGGUGAAACACAUGUUUUGGUAUGAAUUGGGAGAAAAGGUUUCUGUUUGUGAGUGUAGAUGCAGUAGAGCCCAGUUACCACCAAGCAACUUAUGCGAACAGAUAUUGGCUGUUUGAGCCUCGCUGUGGCAUGCAUGAUAUAGGUGGUUGGUAUAUUGAAACAUUUGGCAGAGAUAAGAAAGGCCGGAUGUUGCCAUCACAACGGUAUUGGGAUGGCUUUGAUGCAGGCAAACAAUUUGAACGGAGACUCCAUCCUGCAAUGUAUCUUCUUGCUCUUGCAUAUAGAACUUUGGAUCUUGAAGAUGCAAAAAGAAGGAAAAGUGCAUUCAGGGAUGUUGUUGACAAACGGAUUUUUAAAUUUCUCAAUUGGUGCAAAAGACUUGUUUAGGAGGUAUACUAGUUGGGGAACUACACGCCAUGGGUUCUACAGCUCUCUUGCAUGGUAAAUGCCUCUUUUCUGAGAUCCAAGGAUUCAUCGUUGAUUUUGCUUGCUCUAAUCAGGGUGUCAGAUUGCUUACACAUCUGCAAUUAGUGCAAAAGCAAUGGUCCUGUAUCCUGUUAUUAGUUUUCACCAUGAUGAUAGCAUACAGUCGAAGGUCAAUUGUCUAGCCUUUGCGGAACUUUUUUGGGAGAGAUAUCAUUUGGGGCUCUAAUACACUAAUUUGGUGUAGCAAUUAGCAUUCAUGAUCACAAAUGGCUCUUGGCAUCUUUUUGAAGUACGGCUAUUUAGACUUUAGAGCUUGCAAUCGGUGCUACAAACUUGUUUGUAAGGGGAUAUUGCUUGUGGCUUCACACUAAUUUGGCUGAGCUAUCUGCCGUGGUAGAAUGCUUGAUUUCUGACUUCAGAGGCUCUGUGGUUGAUUUCAUGCAAACCCCACUAAUCAAGGUUGUUUGGAUACCAAGUAUGGCUGGCAGUGAUUGGUGUUGAAGAAGAUGACCUUUCAUCCUGCUAUCAAGACUUGUAAAGAUUAUCAUUUGGAUAUUUAGGACUGUCUAGUUGUUCCUGCAGCUGUUGUCCGGAAGCUAUUCUCAGGAGUUUCUGUUUAGGCAUGGAGAGUGUGCAUUAUGUCAACUUCAUCAGUCUUGAGAUUGAAGACUUAUAUCUUCUUUUUCAGGAAGUUCAUUUGGCUAAAAGUGUUGAGGUGGUAGUAGAUAAUGCGGAAGCAAACCAAUGGUAUUUUGAUGUGUUCACGUAGCUAUGAUAUAUAUGUAUAUUCCUGGUUUUUAAUUUUACAUGGUUCCACAUGUUUAUCAUGUAUAGUUACUAUCUUCUUUGAAAAGUUGGUAAUUUUUCCUCUUCCAUUAAUUGCAUAAUGUACAGCAAAGUAGUAAAUCAGACAUGAUGUGCUCAAUUUUUGACACAUCACCUUAUAUAUGCGUGUGGGUUCUACAUCA